GAUCAUGGCUCAGGAUGAACGCUAGCUACAGGCUUAACACAUGCAAGUCGAGGGGCAGCAUGAUCAAAGCUUGCUUUGAUUGAUGGCGACCGGCGCACGGGUGAGUAACGCGUAUCCAACCUUCCCUAUAGUAGUGGAUAGCCCGGCGAAAGUCGGAUUAAUACACUAUGUUGUAUUUAGAGGACAUCUGAAGAAUACCAAAGGCUUGCCGCUAUAGGAUGGGGAUGCGUCUGAUUAGAUAGUAGGCGGGGUAACGGCCCACCUAGUCGACGAUCAGUAGGGGUUCUGAGAGGAAGGUCCCCCACAUUGGAACUGAGACACGGUCCAAACUCCUACGGGAGGCAGCAGUGAGGAAUAUUGGUCAAUGGACGGGAGUCUGAACCAGCCAAGUAGCCGUGCAGGAUGACGGCCCUAUGGGUUGUAAACUGCUUUUAUACGGGGAUAAAGUGAGCCACGUGUGGCUUUUUGUAGGUACCGUAUGAAUAAGGACCGGCUAAUUCCGUGCCAGCCGCGGC
rnacentral:rRNA from 1 species